AGUCCCCAUCUCUUCCAUCUCUAAACCUAAACAUUUUGACUCUUCUCAUCCUCUUCUCUUCAGUGUCCCUGCUUUGCCAUCGUUGGGUUUCUCUACUUUAGAUCGUGUUAUUUUGUCGUCUCCUGCUCCAGAUCGUGUUGGCCGCUCCAGAUUCGGGGCCAUAUGAUUGAUGAUCACAAGAUUAUACUCGAACAAGUCUUCGGCCUUUCAUUCGAUAGCAAAGUUGAGGAUUCAAUAUUCAAACAAGUCUCCGCUAUUCGAAAUGCUUGGCGUUGGAACUUUCUUGCUUGGCUUAGUUGCUGCAAAAGUGGAAGCCAAUAUCACUCUUACAGAUGACUCAAAUAGAUUAGAGGAUGAAGCUUGCUGACGAUAAUGACUUGGAUGAACAUGGUGUUACCCCCAAUGGAAUUGAGAGAAACACUAAGCUCAAGGCUCUUCAUGGUCUUCCAAAUCAACCCAAAAGAAUGCUUAGUAACUUUUGGCCCACCAAUAGAGGCACUAAUGAAAAGAAUUGAAGACCACAGAGUGAAGCUUUGAAUCGAGAACCUUCUGCUAUGUUUGUCUUCUCCUUCCUUCUUCGUUCUCAAUUGGCCACCACUUGGCAUGGGAGUUGAGUUGCUAAAAUUUCACCAUCACAAGGAGUUUGGUUAAGGUGGUGGUGUGUUCUUUCCUCUUCCUUGCUCACAACAUUGUUUUGGUUUGGGGGAGCUUCAAAAUUUUCCUCUUACUUCAUCAUGGUUGGUUUGAGAGCCUGUUUCCCACUCUGCUUCUAUUACCAAACUUCUUCUUAGUACCAAGAAUCAUCAUAUGGAAAGGCUUUGGGAGAUAAAUUUAUAACUUAAGGCUUCUUAAGUUACUUGGUUCAGGCAAAGGAUCCAGUAGUGGAUAGGAAAAAGAGCAGAGCUAGGGGUUAUCUAUAGAUUGUAAAAAACUACAACGCCUUUCUUUUAAGCAAGUGCAUUGUAAUGUAUUUAGGUUAGGGUGCUAGUAAGAUGUGAUUAUAUAUAUGCGUGUGAAUAUGUGUGGAUUGUAUGCCUAUGUAUGAAUUUUUGUAUGCUUAUAGACUUGUGAUUAGGAAACUUGAUUAUGGUGUGUGGUUUUGAUAGAUUCAUUUUGUA